rnacentral:rRNA from 1 species
CAGUCGCCACGGUAAUACGAAGGGUGCAAGCGUUACCCGGAAUUACUGGGCGUAAAGCGUGCGUAGGUGGUGGUUUAAGUCCGUUGUGAAAGCCCUGGGCUCAACCUGGGAAUUGCAGUGGAUACUGGGUCACUAGAGUGUGGUAGAGGAUAGUGGAAUUUCCGGUGUAGCAGUGAAAUGCGUAGAGAUCGGAAGGAACAUCUGAGGCGAAGGCGACUAUCUGGGCCAACACUGACACUGAGGCACGAAAGCGUGGGGAGCAAACAGGAUUAGAUACCCGCGUAGUCCCUGUCUCUUAUAC